GGACUACUAGGGUAUCUAAUCCUGUUUGCUCCCCACGCUUUCGCACCUCAGCGUCAGUAUCGGCCCAGGUCUCCGCCUUCGCCACUGGUGUUCCUCCCGAUAUCUACGAAUUUCACCUCUACACCGGGAAUUCCGAGACCCUCUUCCGUACUCUAGCCUCGCAGUUUCGAGUGCCCUUCCUGGGUUGAGCCCAGGGCUUUCACACCCGACUUACGAGACCGCCUACGUGCGCUUUACGCCCAAUGAUUCCGAGCAACGUUUGCACCCUCCGUAUUACCGCGGCUGCUGGCAC
rnacentral:rRNA from 1 species